rnacentral:rRNA from 1 species
CAAUAGCGUAUAUUAAAGUUGUUGCAGUUAAAAAGCUCGUAGUUGGAUUUCUGGUGGGAGCGAUCGGUCUGGCGCUUAGCGCGAGUACUUGCAUCGUCUCCGGCCAUCCUUGGGGAGAGUCUGUCUGGCAUUAGGUUGUCGGGCAGAGGAUCUUCAUCGUUUACUGUGAAAAAAUUAGAGUGUUCAAAGCAGGCUUAUGCCGUUGAAUAUAUUAGCAUGGAAUAGUAAGAUAGGACUUUGGUACUAUUUUGUUGGUUUGCGCACCAAAGUAAUGAUUAAUAGGGACAGUUGGGGGUAUUCGUAUUCCGUUGUCAGAGGUGAAAUUCUUGGAUUUACGGAAGACGAACUACUGCGAAAGCAUUUACCAAGGAUGUUUUCAUUAA